AUGAAUAGAAGCUAUGCACCUAAACCUGCUAUUAUCAGAAGCAACAUAAGCUGUCAGAUAGCUAGAAGCAAAAAGAUCACGGAGGAGAGCAUCUUUGCCGACAUCGUCUAUGCCUUUGUGAGCCUGACAGCCAUCCAGAUAGGCCUCAUAGACCCUGCUGAGCUGCAUGGGGCUGAGGCCGGAUGGCAUCAUCUGCCACUCCCUGGGGAAAGUGGCCUGCUGCUAGCCGACGGCUGCCUGUCCCAAGAGGAGGCUGGCCUCUCCGCCUACUGAAGAGGGAAGUGCAUCAAAGAAGCCAGCAUCCCACCAGGCACCAUGGCAGCUGUGUGCUUGUCCUGGGAGGAGUGUAAGCCGUGCUGCCCUCCCUGGGCAUGGCACCCACCUGCCACAACUGAGGACAUGGUGACCAUCUCGGGACCUCAGGGCCCUGUGUACAAGUUCGUGGAAUAGCUGAAGCAGGAGGGCGUGUUUGCCAAGGAGGUGCGGACGGGUGGCAUGGCCUUCCACUCCUACUUCAUGGAGGGCAUCGCACACCCACUGCUGCAGGCACUCAGGAAGGUGAUCCAGGAGCCGAAGCUGCGCUUGGCCCGCUGGCUCAGCACCUCUAUCCCUGAGGCCCCACUGCACACCAGCCUGGCACGAAUGUGCUCCCCCCAGUACAACGUCAACAACCUGGUGAGUCCCAUGCUGUUCCAGGAGGCCCUAUGGCUUGUGCCUGAGCACGCGGUGGUGCUGGAGAUCGUGCCCCACACCCUGCUGCAGGCUGUCCUGAAGCCUGGCCUUAAGCCAGGCUGCACAAUUGUCCCCCUGAUAAAGAAGGACCACAGGGACAACCUGGAGCUGUUCCUCGCCGCCAUCGGCAGGCUGCACCUCUCAGGCAUUGACGCCAACCCCAAUGCCUUGUUCCCACUUGUGGAAUUCCUGGUUCCCCCAGGAACUCCCCUUAUCUCCCUGCUCAUCAAGUGGGACCACAGCCUGGCCUGGGACGUGCCGGCCGCCGAGGACUUCCCCAGCGGUUCCAGUUCCCCAUCCGCUGCCGUCUACAACAUCGACGCCAGCCCCGAGUCUCCUGACCACUAACUGGUGGACCACUGCAUCGGUGGCCAUACCAUCUUCCCUGCUGCUGGCUAUCUGUGCCUCAAGUGGAAGACGCUGGCCCGCGCCCUGAGUCUGGCCACGGAGCAGCUGCCUGUGGGUGUUUGAGGACGUGAUAGUGCACCAGGCCACCAUCUUGCCCAUGAAGGGGACUGUGUCCCUGGAGGUAUAGCUCCUGGAAGCCUCCCACACCUUCGAAGUGUCAGAGCGCGGCCACCUGGUAGUGAGUGGGAAGGUGCAUCAGUGGGAGGACCCUGACCCCAGGCUCUUUGACGAGCAGGAAAGCCCCGACACUAGCCCCGGGGAGCCAUUCUUCCUAGCCUAGCUGAAGUGCACAGGGAGAUGUGUUUGCAUGGCUACAACUAUGGCCCUCAGUUCCAGGGCAUCCUAGAAGCCAGCCUGGAAGGCAACUAGGGCAAGUUACUGUGGAAGGACAACUGGGUGCCCUUCCUGGACACCAUGCUGCAGAUGUCCAUCCUGGGCACGGGCCAGCGCAGCCUGUUCCUGCCGACCUGCAUCACUGCCACCCACAUCGACCCUGCCUCCCACAGGCAGAAGCUGUACACACAGCAGGACGAGGCUAAAGUGGCUGACUUAGUGGUGAGCAGGUGCCUGAAGACCACAGCGGCCGGAGGCGUCCAUCUCUCCAGGCUCCACUCCUCGGCGGCCCCGCGGCGGCAGCAGGAGCAUCGAGCACCUGUCCUGGAGUUUUGUUUCACGCCCCACAUAGAGGACAGGUGCCUGUCUGGGCACGCUACUCUGAAGGAGGAGCUGCAGCUGUGCAAGGGACUGGUGCAGGUGCUACAGGCUAAGGUGACCUAGCAGGGGCUGAAGAUGGUGGUGCCCAGACUGGACGGGGCGCAGGUCCCCCAGGAUUCCCCGCAGCAGGCACUGCCCCAGCCGCUGUCGGCUGCUCGCGGGCUUCAGCUCAUCAGGAACCUACAGCUGGAGCUGGCACAGGUUCUGGCUCAGGAGAGGUCUGAGCUGCCAGAGGACCCUCUGCCCAGCCGCCUCCUGGACUCCCCAGCACUCAAGGCCUGCGUGGACGCUGCCCUGGAGAACAUGUCCAGUCUGAAGAGGAAGGUGGUGGAGGUGCUGGCUGGCCAUGGUCACCUGCAUUCCCGCAUCCCAGGCCCGCUCAACAUGCUGCAGCUGAGCUACAUGGCCACCAACCGCCACCCUCAGGCCCUGGAGGCUGCCCAGGCCAAGCGGCAGCCGCACGACACCACCCAGGGCCAGUGGGACCCCGCGGACCCUGCCCCCAGCACCCCGGGCAGCACUGACCUCCUGGAGUGCAACUGUGCAGUGGCUGCCCUCGGGGACCUGGCCUCAGCCCUCGGCAACAUGGUGGCUGCCCUGAGAGAAGAGGGCUUUCUGCUGCUCCGGGGGCACGGCCUUGGGGAGACCGUGGCCUUCCUCACCUCGGCUGAGCCGCAGUACGCCCCGGGCAUCCUGAGCCAGGACGCGUGAGACAGCCUCUUCUCCAAGACGCCGCCACGCCUGGUGGGCGUGAAGCAGUCCUUCCGCCGCUCCGUACUUCCCCGCGCGCCCGCCCCGCAGGACGGCCCCAUCUUCCUUCCGGCGGAGGACGCCAGCUUCCGCUGGGGACUCUGACGGGCGCGCGGCCGGCUCCUCCUCCCGGCUCGCGGGACUGAAGGCCGUCGACUGCGGCGCCUCCGGCGUGUCCGACGUGUCGGGCGUGGGGAACUGUCUCCGCCCAGAGCCCGGCGGGCGCCGCAGCGGCUGCCUGCUGCUCUCCAACCUCGGCAGGCCCUGCGCGUCGUGGACCCGGGCUCCGCAGAACUGCACAAGGCGCUGCCGGGAGAACGGGUGACGGACGUCUGCCGCGGGGGGCCCGAGGGGCCUCCCGCCAGUUCCCGCGGGAGCAGGACGAGCCCGGGGAGCUGGCGGCACAGGCCCACGGGGUGGUCCUCGCCCGGGGGGCCUGUCCUCCGUCCGCUGGGUCUGCUCCUCGCCGCGCCAUGCCCGGCCCGCCGGCCCUGGCGCCCAGCUCUGCACGGCCUACUUCGCCUCCCUCAACUUCCACGACAUCAUGCUGGCCACGGGCAAGCUGCCCCCUGACGCCAUGCCGGGGAAACGGGCCACCAAGGACUGCUUGCUGCGUAUGGAGUUCUCGGCCCGGACGCCAGCGGCAAGCGUGUGACUGGCCGGCGCCCGCCGAGGGCCUGGCCGCCUCUGUCCUGCUGUCGCCGACUUCCUCUGGGACGUGCCCUCCCGCCGGACCCUGAAGGAGGCGGCCUCGGGGCCCGUCACCCGCAGCACGGCCUACCAGGCACCGGUGGUCUGCGGGCGGCGCGGCGCGGGGAGACGGACGCGCAUCCCCUCUGGCUCGGGCGGCGUGGGCCGGGCCGCCUGCGCCAUCGCCCUCAGUCUGCGCUGCCGCGUCUUCACCGCCGCGGGGUCGGCCGCGAAUCGGGCGUUGCUCCAGGCCAGGUCCUCCCAGCCGGACAGCACCAGCUUUGCCAACGCGAGGGUCACGUCGUUCGCGAAACACGUGCUGCAGCACACUGGCGGGAAGGGCGUUGAGCUGGUCCCGAACUCCUGGGCGGAAGAGAAGCUGCAGGCCGGCGCGAGGGGCCGGGCUCGGCACGGCCCCUGCCUGUAAACUGGCAAAUCUGACCUUGCUGACAACCACCUGCUUGGCGUGGCCGUCUUGAAGAACGGGACCUUCCACGGGAUCCUUCUGGACUCGCUCUUCGGCGAAGCCAGUGCUGCCUGGCGGGAGGCGUCGGUGCUUCUGCAGGCUGGCAUCCGCGAUGGCGGAGUGCAGCCCCUCAGGCGCUCUGUGUUCCCAGGGCUCAGGUGGAGGCCGCCUUCAGCUCCAUGGCCCAGGGCAAGCUCAUUGGCGAAGUCGUAGUGCAGGUGCAUGCGGAGGAGCCGGAGGCUGUGCUGAAGGGGGCCAAACCCACGCUGAUGGCCGCUGUCUCCAAGACCUUCUGCCCGCCCCACAAGAGCUACGUCAUCGCCUGUGCCCGGGGUGGCUUCAGCCUGGAGCUGGCCCAGUGGCUGAUACAUCGCAGGGACCAGAAGCUGGUGCUGACCUCUAGCUCCGGGAUCUGGAGGACAGGCAUCCCCAAACUACAGCCCCCGAGGGCUGCAUGCGGCCCCCUGAGGCCAUUUAUCCAGCCCCCUGCCACACUUCAGGAAGGGACAUCUCUUUCAUUGGUGGUUAGUGAGAGGAGCACGCUACCACUUGACAGAAUUGCAUUAGAUGUAAGGGGUAUAAAUAUGAAGAGAAACAGCUGCUACCUUCGGGAAGCUGAUGCUCUUUGA